rnacentral:lncRNA from 1 species
AAUAAUAUAUCAACUAUAUAUGUUUUAUAUAAUCUUUCAUUUCUUUGAGUUUUCUAAGCAAUUAAAAUCACUUAGUCUACCAAAUUCACAAUUGUUAUCUACUCUUCUAACUAUUAUUCAUAUAUUCACUCUUAUCUUAAACCUAAUUCAUUAGUUCUCAAUGGAAGAAUUUUUAAAAAAUCAAAAUUCCAACAAAUCCUUAAAAAAACAUAACAUAUGCUACAGCUUGAUAAACCCUUUUCUCUAUCUAAUCCUAAGACAUCAAUCCAUAAACCCUAGCAUUUCCUUUGACAACAAAUUCAAAACCCUGAUCUUAAGAAAUCCUCUACAAAUCCUAGUUUUAACUUUGGCUUUGUCCAAAAAAUUAUUAUGAUUAGUAAAUAAAAAGAAUCAACCUCGAUUACAAACAUCACCUUACAAACUCGCACAAGAAAAAUGCAAUAUCUACUAUUUUCUCUUUGCAUUUGUUUAAUUUAGUCCCUGACCUAGAAUUCACCCUGCCAAUCUGGAUAGGAGACCCCGAGCUUGCGAACCAACCUUCGCUCCGGUAGCCACUCUGAUCUCUCCAAUACUCCAAAGCUUGUUGAAACCAGAGAACACGCGGCAAUCCAAUGGUUGAAUAGCAGCUCUAAACACUGCUCCGCCGAAGUUAGGUGACCCAAACUGCCCUGGCACUGGACCACUCGUUACUUAAAUACAAACAAUACAAGAACCACAGCUACCACUCCGGACUGGAUCUCAAAAGACUUCUGAGCCACUGCUCAAUCCUCGCCCACCGCCAUCUCUGUCUUAUGAACUACCCAGCUAUGCUAAUCUUGCGCCAACCAAAAGGAAAAAUUUCAGGUCUCCACUUGGGUCUCCACUUCUUGCAAAAUAUGCUACCUCGACGCAUACUCACGAGAAAAUCUCUUUCGCAGAAAUGAGUG